rnacentral:rRNA from 1 species
UAGGGAAUCUUCCGCAAUGGACGAAAGUCUGACGGAGCAACGCCGCGUGAGUGAAGAAGGAUUUCGGUUCGUAAAACUCUGUUGUUAGGGAAGAAAAAAUGUAUAGUAACUAUAUACAAAAGAGACGGUACCUAACCAGAAAGCCACGGCUAACUACGUGCCAGCAGCCGCGGUAAUACGUAGGUGGCAAGCGUUGUCCGGAAUUAUUGGGCGUAAAGCGCGCGCAGGUGGUUUAGAAAGUCUGAUGUGAAAGCCCACGGCUCAACCGUGGAGGGUCAUUGGAAACUAAUAAACUUGAGUGCAGGAGAAAAAGUGGAAUUCCUAGUGUAGCGGUGAAAUGCGUAGAGAUUAGGAGGAACACCGGUGGCGAAAGCGGCUUUUUGGCCUGCAACUGACACUGAGGCGCGAAAGCGUGGGGAGCAAACAGG